AGCGAACGCUGGCGGCAGGCUUAACACAUGCAAGUCGAGCGCCACGCCAGGGGAGCGGCAGACUGGUGAGUAACACGUGGGAACGUACCCUUUGGUUCGGAACAACCUAGGGAUACUUGGGCUAAUACCGGAUAAGUCUGACACGAGUAAGAUGUAUCGCCGAAGGAUCGGCCCGCGUCUGAUUAGCUCGUUGGUGUGGUAACGGCGCCCCAAGGCGACUAUCGGUAGCUGGUCUGAGAGGCUGAUCAGCCACACUGAGACUGGGACGCGGCGCAGACUCCUACGGGAUGCAGCAGUGGGGGAUAUUGGAAAAUGGGGGCAAUCCUGAUCCAGCCAUGCCGCGUGAGUGAUUAAGGCGGUAGGGUAGUAAAGCUCGUUAGGUGGGGAAGGUAAUGACGGUACCCACAGAAGAAGCCCCGGCUAACUUCGUG
rnacentral:rRNA from 1 species